rnacentral:rRNA from 1 species
GAUGAACGCUGGCGGCGUGCCUAAUACAUGCAAGUCGAGCGAAUGGAUUAAGAGCUUGCUCUUAUGAAGUUAGCGGCGGACGGGUGAGUAACACGUGGGUAACCUGCCCAUAAGACUGGGAUAACUCCGGGAAACCGGGGCUAAUACCGGAUAACAUUUUGAACCGCAUGGUUCGAAAUUGAAAGGCGGCUUCGGCUGUCACUUAUGGAUGGACCCGCGCCGCAUUAGCUAGUUGGUGGGGUAACGGCUCACCAAGGCAACGAUGCGUAGCCGACCUGGGAGGGUGAUCGGCCACACUGGGACUGAGACACGGCCCAGACUCCUACGGGAGGCAGCAGUAGGGAAUCUUCCGCAAUGGACGAAAGUCUGACGGAGCAACGCCGCGUGAGUGAUGAAGGCUUUCGGGUCGUAAAACUCUGUUGUUAGGGAAGAACAAGUGCUAGUUGAAUAAGCUGGCACCUUGACGGUACCUAACCAGAAAGCCACGGCUAACUACGUGCCAGCAGCCGCCGUAA